rnacentral:misc_RNA from 1 species
GAUGAAUAACGUAGCGAAAUGCGAUAAGUAAUGUGAAUUGCAGAAUUCAGUGAAUCAUCGAAUCUUUGAACGCACAUUGCGCCCCCUGGUAUUCCGGGGGGCAUGCCUGUCCGAGCGUCAUUACAACCCUCAAGCUCAGCUUGGUAUUGGGCCCCGCCGACCCGGCGGGCCCUAAAGUCAGUGGCGGUGCCGUCCGGCUCCGAGCGUAGUAAUUCUUCUCGCUCUGGAGGUCCGGUCGUGUGCUCGCCAGCAACCCCCAAUUUUUUUCAGGUUGACCUCGGAUCAGGUAGGGAUACCCGCUGAACUUAAGCAUAUCAAUAAGCGGAGGA